AGGUUAUGAUGUGGACAUUUUCUCAACAAAUCUUUAAAUCUCUCCCAAGCUUCAAAUAGUGAUUUAGUAUCCAACUGUGAGUAUGUUGUGAUCUCUUGACGCAGCUU